AUACGGAGGGUGCGAGCGUUAAUCGGAAUUACUGGGCGUAAAGGGCGCGUAGGUGGUUAGGUCAGUCGGAUGUGAAAGCCCCGGGCUCAACUCGGGAAUUGCAUUCGAUACUGCCUGGCUUGAGUAUGGUAGAGGGAAGUGGAAUUCCGGGUGUAGCGGUGAAAUGCGUAGAUAUCCGGAGGAACACCAGUGGCGAAGGCGGCUUCCUGGACCAAUACUGACACUGAGGCGCGAAAGCGUGGGGAGCAAACAGGAUUAGAAACCCCAGUAGUCC
rnacentral:rRNA from 1 species